rnacentral:rRNA from 1 species
GACGAACGCUGGCGGCGUGCUUAACACAUGCAAGUCGAACGCUGAAGCUUGGUGCUUGCACUGGGUGGAUGAGUGGCGCACGGGUGAGUAAUACGUGAGUAACCUGCCCUUGACUCUGGGAUAAGCCUGGGAAACUGGGUCUAAUACUGGAUACGACAUGUCACCGCAUGGUGGCGUGUGGAAAGGGUUUUACUGGUUUUGGAUGGGCUCACGGCCUAUCAGCUUGUUGGUGGGGUAAUGGCUCACCAAGGCGCCGACGGGUAGCCGGCCUGAGAGGGUGACCGGCCACACUGGGACUGAGACACGGCCCAGACUCCUACGGGAGGCAGCAGUGGGGAAUAUUGCACAAUGGGCGAAAGCCUGAUGCAGCGACGCCGCGUGAGGGAUGACGGCCUUCGGGUUGUAAACCGCUUUCAGCACGGAAGAAGCGAAAGUGACGGUACGUGCAGAAGAAGCGCCGGCUAACUACGUG